GAAAUGCGAUAAGUAGUGUGAAUUGCAGAAUUCAGUGAAUCAUCGAAUCUUUGAACGCACAUUGCGCCCCUUGGUAUUCCAUGGGGCAUGCCUGUUUGAGCGUCAUUUGUACCCUCAAGCUCUGCUUGGUGUUGGGUGUUUGUCCCCGUCUCCGCGCGUGGACUCGCCCCAAAGUGAUUGGCAGCCGGCGUACUGGUCCCGGAGCGCAGCACAUGUCGCGCAAACGAGUGCCUUGGUACGGCGGCGUCCAUAAGCCCCUCUCUCACGCUCUUGACCUCGGAUCAGGUAGGGAUACCCGCUGAACUUAAGC
rnacentral:misc_RNA from 1 species